UACGGGGGGGGCAAGCGUUGUUCGGAAUUACUGGGCGUAAAGGGCUCGUAGGCGGCCAACUAAGUCAGACGUGAAAUCCCUCGGCUUAACCGGGGGACUGCAUCUGAUACUGGAUGGCUUGAGAUUGGGAGAGGGAUGCGGAAUUCCAGGUGUAGCGGUGAAAUGCGUAGAUAUCUGGAGGAACACCGGUGGCGAAGGCGGGUCUCUGGGCCGAUACUGACGCUGAGGAGCGAAAGCGUGGGGAGCGAACAGG
rnacentral:rRNA from 1 species